AGCAGCCGCGGUAAUUCCAGCUCCAAUAGCGUAUAUUAAAGUUGUUGCAGUUAAAAAGCUCGUAGUUGAAUUUCGGGAUCAAAGGAUCGGUCAUGCCUUGGUAUGUACUGGUUUUAUUGGUUCUCACCUUCUAAAGAACCAUAAUGUCAUUCAUUUGAUGUUAUGGGGAAUUAGGACUGUUACCUUGAAAAAUUAGAGUGUUUAAAGCAGGCUUACGCUUGAAUACAUUAGCAUGGAAUAAUGAAAUAGGACAUCAGAUUCUAUUUUGUUGGUUUCUAGGAUCGAUGUAAUGAUUAAUAGGGAUAGUUGGGGGCAUUAGUAUUCAAUUGUCAGAGGUGAAAUUCUUGGAUUUAUUGAAGACUAACUACUGCGAAAGCAUUUGCCAAGGAUGUUUUCAUUAAUCAAGAACGAAAGUUAGGGGAUCGAAGACGAUCAGAUACCGUCGUAGUCUUAACCAUAAACUAUGCCGACUAGGGAUCGGAUGAUGUUAAUUUUAUAAUAACUCAUUCGGUACC
rnacentral:misc_RNA from 1 species